AGCUGACGGUUUUGGUAUUGAACUAUCCAAGAAUCCUUGUUUAUUCCUGAUUGAGACAGCAAGCAAGAAUGAUCUCUUCCAUUAAGCAAAAUUUGAAGGGGAUAACUCUGGAGUCACUAUAACUGAAUUGUGGUUCUCACAAUGGUGCAGAUAGUAUGGUGAAGAAGUAUCUUCCAGUGGAUUGCUAUUGUGAGGGACGACGAUGGAACUUGAAGUCACCAUAGAGGAAUUAUCGAAAAAAAAUUAGGAUAGUUGCAGCUCUGAUAUCAUGUUAGCAAGAGAAAAG
rnacentral:lncRNA from 1 species